AGAGUUUGAUCAUGGUUCAGGAUGAACGCUGGCGGCGUGCCUAAUACAUGCAAGUCGAGCGAACAGAUAAGGAGCUUGCUCCUUUGACGUUAGCGGCGGACGGGUGAGUAACACGUGGGUAACCUACCUAUAAGACUGGAAUAACUCCGGGAAACCGGGGCUAAUGCCGGAUAAUAUUUANAACCGCAUGGUUCUAAAGUGAAAGAUGGUUUUACUAUCACUUAUAGAUGGACCCGCGCCGUAUUAGCUAGUUGGUGGGGUAAUGGCUUACCAAGGCAACGAUACGUAGCCGACCUGAGAGGGUGAUCGGCCACACUGGAACUGAGACACGGUCCAGACUCCUACGGGAGGCAGCAGUAGGGAAUCUUCCGCAAUGGGCGAAAGCCUGACGGAGCAACCGCCCGCGUGAGUGAUGAAGGUCUUCGGAUCGUAAAACUCUGUUAUUAGGGAAGAACAAAUGUGUAAGUAACUGUGCACCGUCUUGACGGUACCUAAUCAGAAAGCCACGGCUAACUACGUGCCAGCAGCCCGCGGUAAUACGUAGGUGGCAAGCGUUAUCCCGGAAUUAUUGGGCGUAAAGCGCCCGUAGGCGGGUUCUUAAGUCUUGAUGUGAAAAGCCCACGGCUUCACCCGUGGAGGGUCAUUGGAAACUGGG
rnacentral:rRNA from 1 species